rnacentral:rRNA from 1 species
GUCUAUGGCCAUGCCACCCUGAACAAGCCCAAUCCCAUCUGAUCUCGGAAGCUAAGAAGGGUCAGGCCUGGUUAGCACCUGGAUGGGAGACCACCUAGGAAGACUGGGUACUGCAGGCG